rnacentral:rRNA from 1 species
GACGGGGGGGGGCAAUUGUUCUUCGGAAUGACUGGGCGUAAAGGGCACGUAGGCGGUGAAUCGGGUUGAAAGUGAAAGUCGCCAAAAAGUGGCGGAAUGCUCUCGAAACCAAUUCACUUGAGUGAGACAGAGGAGAGUGGAAUUCCUGGUGUAGCGGUGAAAUGCGCAGAUAUCAGGAAGAACACCCGUGGCGAAGGCGGCUCUCUGGGACGGUACUGACGCUGAGACGCGAAAGCGUGGGGAGCGAACAGG